rnacentral:rRNA from 1 species
AUUGAACGCUGGCGGCAGGCCUAACACAUGCAAGUCGAGCGGAUGAAGGGAGCUUGUUCCUGGAUUCAGCGGCGGACGGGUGAGUAAUGCCUAGGAAUCUGCCUGGCAUUGGGGGAUAACGUCCGGAAACGGGCGCUAAUACCGCAUACGACCUGAGGGAGAAAGUGGGGGAUCUUCGGACCUCGCGCUAUCAGAUGAGCCUAGGUCGGAUUAGCUAGUUGGUGGGGUAAAGGCCUACCAAGGCGACGAUCCGUAACUGGUCUGAGAGGCUGAUCGGUCACACUGGAGCUGAGACACGGUCCAGACUCCUACGGGAGGCCGCAGUGGGGAAUAUUGGGCAAUGGGCGAAAGCCUGAUCCAGCCAUGCCGCGUGUGUGAAGAAGGUCUUCGGAUUGUAAAGCACUUUAAGUUGGGAGGAAGGGCAGUAAGUUAAUACCUUGCUGUUUUGACGUUACCAACAGAAUAAGCACCGGCUAACUUCGUG